rnacentral:lncRNA from 1 species
AAAGCUUGUUGGAUUCAGGACGACAAGAGCAAUCCAAAUCUUAAGACCAUGCUGAUAUGAAAAUGCAAAUGAUCUAGAGAUGUGAGACCUCUAUGAAUGAAGAACCGGCAAAAACUCCAACAUCGAAAACAUCAUAGUAGUUGCAUAUGGACUCCGUUUUCGAUUAACUCGAGCUUGUCAUGAAGAUGACCAUAAGCUCUAAAACUCACAAAGAGAAAACCAAAUAAGAACCAAGAAGUAUGAUGCAAGGAUGCAAAUGGUUUGAGCUCUCAAUGAACAAUACGAUCAAGCUAAUCACUUGAGAGCCCCCCUUGACAGUACAGCAUUCUAUCCUAAACAGAAAACCUAUCAAGG